rnacentral:snoRNA from 1 species
UUGCUGUGAUGAUGUUUUAGUACUCGCUACUCUCGACGUUCUGCGGAUGAUUAGAACCAAACCAACGCUCUGAGGGUA